GGGGGAGGGGGGGCUAGAGGGAUAAACAGAGUAAAUAUUGACGUUGUCAAGGGUUUCAUUUUACUUGGCUUCACAAUCAACACGCAGGGAAACAACAGUCAAGAAAUCAAGGGAUGUAUUGCAUUGAGCAAAUCUGCUGCAAAAGACGUCUUUAAAGUGUUAAAAAGCAAAGAUGUCACUUUGGGGACUAAGAUGAGCCUGAACUAAUGCCGUGGUAUUUUCAGUCGCUCUAUAUGCAUGUGAAAGAUGGACGAUGAAUAAGGAAGACUGAAGAAUUGAUGCUUUUGAAUUGUGUAUUGCCGAAGAAUAUUUAAUAUACUAUGGACUACCAGAAGAACGAACAAAUCUGUCCUGGAAGAAGUACAGCCAAAAUGCUUCUUAGAAGUGAGGUUGGUGAGACUUCAUCUCAUCUACUUUGUACUGCUUAUCAGGAGGGACCAGUCUCUGGGGAAGGACAUCACGCUUGGUAAAAUACAGUGUCAGCGAAGAAGAGGAAGACCCUCAACGAGAUGGAUUGACACAGCGGCAGCAACAAUGGGCUCAAAUAUAGCAACAAUUGUAAGGAUGGCGUAGAACUGGGCGGUAUUUUGUUCUGUUGUACAGAGAGUCGCUAUGCCUCCUAACCCACUGGAGGGCACCUGACAACAACAGGGAAGCUGAGAUGAGUCAGAGAGGCAGGGCCAGAUAGGGGUAGGGCUGUGCUCUCUCAAGAGGCGGGGCUGGUUGGGACGAUGGAGCUAGAGAACCAGGCCAAAGAAGAGGGGCCAAAUGAGUUCUGCUCCCCUGCCCUCUCCACAGAGCUCCAGUCUCAGAGAUCCAGCCACCUCCUGGAUGCUUCCCCUGGGUGUCUGCACCCACUCUGUCCCUCGCUGGCCCCAGGACCAACCCCAGACCUGCUUCUCCUCCUGGUCCCAGCCUCAGAGAUGGUGUCAUCGAUUGAAUUAUGUCUCCCCAAAAUGAGAUAAAAGGGAAGAGAAGCAAGCAGAGAGUUGGGGACCUCAUACUCCCAAGAAAGCAGCACUGAGAGCAGAGUGUGUCCUUUGGACCCAGGGUCCCUGCGCCUGAGAAGCUCCUCAACCAGGGGAAGACUGAUGACAAGGAAUCUUCCUCCAGAGCCAACAGAGAGAAAGCCUUUCCCUGGAGCUGACGCCCUGAAUUUGGACUUUUAGCCUACUGUACUGUGAGAAAAUAAAUUUCUCUUUGUUAAAGCCAUCAUCCACUUGUUUUAUUUCUGUUAUAGCAGCACUAGAUGACUAAUAUACAGGUGGCCUCACCAUUCCCUGAUCCCCCGGC